UCAUUUUAAAUAGUUUUUGAUAUUCAAAAAAUACAAAAAUAUUUUCCUAACCUGUUUGAAUGAUGAUGGAUCUAUGAAAAAUAUUCUCAUCAAUUUUCUAAUUGAUUUGAGAUUUAUUUGAGAUUUUAGUUCAAUUAGGUUAUUUAUAUUCAUUUUUAAUUGAUUAAAAAUAGUUUCUGACUUUUAAAAAUGCUGAAAUUUUUUGUCAAACUUUGUUUGACCUUGUUGAACUUGGGAUAAAUCACUUGGACCUUUC
rnacentral:lncRNA from 1 species